UAAUACGAAGGGGGCUAGCGUUGCUCGGAAUCACUGGGCGUAAAGGGCGCGUAGGCGGCCCCGAUAGUCAGGCGUGAAAUUCCUGGGCUCAACCUGGGGACUGCGCUUGAUACGUCGGGGCUGGAGUGCGGGAGAGGGUCGCGGAAUUCCCAGUGUAGAGGUGAAAUUCGUAGAUAUUGGGAAGAACACCGGUGGCGAAGGCGGCGACCUGGCCCGUUACUGACGCUGAGGCGCGACAGCGUGGGGAGCAAACAGGAUUAGAUACCCUGGUAGUCCACGCCGUAAACGAUGUGCGCUGGGUGUUGGGGCCCCUAGGGCCUCAGUGCCGCAGCCAACGCGGUAAGCGCACCGCCUGGGGAGUACGGCCGCAAGGUUG
rnacentral:rRNA from 1 species